rnacentral:misc_RNA from 2 species
CCACCCUCAGGCGCUGCCUGGUGUUGGGGGCCUGCGCCUGCAGCCCCCGAAAGCCAACGGCGGUCCCGGUCCCGGCCCCGAGCGUAGUAGCAUACCUCGCUCUGGGCGCCUGGCGGGCACCAGCCGCAACCCACCAUCUCAA